GUGGGACAUGACAGCACGGUUAUCUAGGUAAAAAUGUAUAUAAGCUGUGUUUAGUAGUGAAUAAACGCCAUUUGCCUCACUUACUCCUGGGGUCUGGGUGAGCAUCUGGCCCCGACCUGGUAAAGGGUCGGUUUCGCCCAGCAGUAAGCCCUACAUGUGGACAGAGGACGAACACCGGAUGAGCGAACGGAGACUACAUGCAACAAGUGGUGACCCCGACGUGAUCUGUCUGCUGAGGGUGGCUGCCCGGCGUGCCCGUGACGCGGAGAAGAGCCUGUGAGGUGGCGGCAGGUCGCGCACGGAAGACGUAUUGCGGUUAAGAGCCUGCGAGGUGGCGGCAGGUCGCAUACGUAACAAUGGACCAAGUCAUUAAGGUACUUGUGCAGUUUUGUAAGGACUACUGUGGAAAAUCUGCUCCUUCCCGGAAGGAGAUCGCGGCAGUUUUGUCGCUGUUAAAUGAGCUGGGGGAGCUGGACUCUCCCCGCUACGUUUUGGAUUCGAGUAGGUGGGACUUGCUCACCUCGGCGCUAUGCCAGCGCGCCAUGGCCAGUCAGAAGGCUACGGAACUUAAAACGUGGGGACUGAUAUUAGGAGCCCUUAAAGCGGCCAGAGUUGAGGGAAAGGUAUUGGUGGAGGCUCGAUACCUUUUGGGUCUCAGCGGAGGAGACCGAAGCCAACUCCAGAACAACUGAGGGACAGACGAUGGGAUCAAGAACCAUUCGUCAAGAGGAGCACUACACCUGCAACGCUGACACUUCCGAUGUUGCUGAUAUUUAUGGUGUCCAUGGCGAUUACAGAGUGUCACAAACAACUACAAUGGACACAAGAACAUAUGCAGAAGAUUAAAGAAGAGCGUGAUCCCUUUGGAAGCUGGCUGGACGGACUGUUUGGGGGAACGGGUUCAUGGUUAAAGCAAUUGCUUAAAGCUCUCGCAGUAGGAUUUGCAAUCUUUGUGUGUAUUCUAAUCUGUCUUCCAUGCUUUGUAGGAUGCUUGCCUUCAACGAAUGAUGGAAAAGACUUUUGACUAUCACAUUGAGUAUCAUAGAUUGCGUGAAAAAUUAUAGAGGGGUUUAGGUUGUUGCGUUCGUGCUGUAACGGGGCAAGGCUUGGCCGAGCACGGAAAAGAAUUCCCUGUUGCUCUGAUGAUUGCUUAAGAACUGUAGUAGAAAAUAGUAGGAAUAGUGUGCUGAAAUAUAUUUAGGAUUAGGCGUUUUGCGCUGCUUCGCGAUGUACGGGUUAGGUGUGUGUGUAAGUAGUAUUUAGCUUAGGGAGGGGGAGAUGUUGUAGUAGGCGUCUUGCGGGGGCACGGGAUGUACGGGACAGGCCUCUCCCUAAACAUAGAGAGAUAGUGCUAUCGUGCUGACCUUGUUGCAGAGAAAACAGGAGAAGAAGAAGGAUGAUAAAAGAAUGUGGAAACGGCCAAAUAAGGCACAAUGUUAUCUGGUGUGAACUAAUCAGAGUGGGACAUGACAGCACGGUUAUCUAGGUAAAAAUGUAUAUAAGCUGUGUUUAGUAGUGAAUAAACGCCAUUUGCCUCACUUACUCCUGGGGUCUGGGUGAGCAUCUGGCCCCGACCUGGUAAAGGGUCGGUUUCGCCCAGCAGUAAGCCCUACAUGUGGACAGAGGACGAACACCGGAUGAGCGAACGGAGACUACAUGCAACACACUCUGGAUACAUUUUUUCUUCUAAAUGCAUGUCACUAUUUUGUGCAUCAAGAGCAGGUUUUAUAAUCCACUUGCUUCUGAUAGACAAAACUGUUCUCAUGUAGUUUCAUUGAUUUCAAGGAAGUUUAAUGUCUUCUUUAUGUAAAUGUAAAUAACUGAACAAGUUUUAGCUCUGGUAGCUGAAAUAUUUUCAGUGCUCAGUUAAGGGAACAAAAAAAAGUUGAUCUUUCUCAUUUUUAGGAUUGUGACAUAGGCAGGAACAAAUAGUUCAAAAAUAGAGAGCAGGGCAUUCUGAAGAAAGACAUAGAAGUAACUUUUAGUGGGUUUUUGUUUGUUUUUGUUACUUUUUGUAUUAUUUAUAAGAUACUUUUUUUCUACUUUUUUCUGGGUUUCAUCUGUUGGUUGAAUCAUUAAUAAAAGUAAAGCUUUGAUAUCUUUACUGAUAGUCACAUAUGGAAUCAAGUCACCUUUGAAAAUAGAAUUAUGAAGUUUACAUAAAUAAUAUUUAAUUUUUUUUUUGUUUGAAUCUUUUGUUGUUUUUGUUGUUUUCACUUCCAUGCUCUUUUUGUGUUGUUGUUUUCAGUUAUUAAAAUGUUCUUUUCUUAAUAGCACCUUACAUAUCAUUAGGAAAAAAAAAAACAUACAUUAAUAGCAAAGGCGUGCUAACUCAUAGUAGCACCCACAAAUUUCUCAGCUAUUGAUAACAGCCCAUACGGAAUAUAUUACUUGGUUUAGGGAGAAGAUUAAGAGGAAGCUAGUUAGACUAUCUGCUAUUUGGUUCUUCAUCUUGCAUUUGCAAGAUGACCCCUUUUUAAAGGGCUCUAUUAUCAAUGGAUGAAAAAGGAAGCUUUUCUUCUUUCCAAUCUGAGAUCCUCAUUUAGGCACUUCAGCUAAUUUCCUAAAGAUAGGUGGAUUGUUACAACCUCAGAAUGAGUAGUAUAACUCUUUCAUUUCUGUUCCACAGUUUGUACAUCUUUAAAAAGAAUGUUAAUUGCCUGGACCAGAAAUAUAGGUGAUUGACUUCUUAAAAGAUCUGGUUUUGGAUGCUGUGUCCGAAAGUCAGUACAUAAAUCUACAUCUAGGAAACUAAAAAUGAUUUGGCUUUCAGAGUGCUGAAUCACUUCAGAAACCUGGGACUGCAUACCUUACUUUAUUUAGUGUAGCUGUACAUGUAUAAAAAGAUGCCUGUCCAUUGGAAGACACAGAUGUCAACAGUAAAUACUGGAAAGUGUUUUCUUCAGUUUCCAGGACAGCUUGUUGAAAUCCUAACAGUUAUUAGCUGUUACUAUGCAGCAAGCCUGCUCAUUGAAAAAAAUCAAUGUGUUGAAUGUUCUGC
ensembl:lncRNA